GAUGAACGCUAGCGGCAGGCUUAAUACUUGCAAGUCGUGGGGCAGCAUGAGUAGCAAUACUUGAUGGCGACCGGCAAACGGGUGCGGAACACGUACACAACCUUCCGAUAAGUGGGGAAUAGCCCAGAGAAAUUUGGAUUAAUACCCCGUAACAUAUAGAGUAGGCAUCUUCUUUAUAUUAUAGCUUCGGCGCUCAUUGAUGGGUGUGCGUCUGAUUAGGUAGUUGGCGGGGUAACGGCCCACCAAGCCUACGAUCAGUAGCUGAUGUGAGAGCAUGAUCAGCCACACGGGCACUGAGACACGGGCCCGACUCCUACGGGAGGCAGCAGUAAGGAAUAUUGGACAAUGGGCGAAAGCCUGAUCCAGCCAUGCCGCGUGAAGGAUUAAGGUCCUCUGGAUUGUAAACUUCUUUUAUUUGGGACGAAAAAAGGGAAUUCUUUCCACUUGACGGUACCAAGUGAAUAAGCACCGGCUAACUCCGUGCCAGCCGCCGCAGUAA
rnacentral:rRNA from 1 species